AUGUUUCUCUUCAAGUGGAUCCGUUCACGUCAACAUUUGCAAGAUCAUUUAUCACUUCUUCUCAACGCUGUUUGUUUCAUCCGUCUCCAAGUUGUUUUUGUUUUCCCGCCCUCCCACCCCUCUUUUUUUCUUCAAGGACUCAGAUUUCUUAAUCGAGUAUCCAUUUUAUUGAUGGGAAGUUUCUCCAUUCUUUUCCGUCAAUGUUCUUAUCCGGUGAUUCUCAUGAAGAUUCUAAUGGAGCUUCAAGUUCAUCAUUUCUCGUUCUUUUCUUCUCCGGUGGAUUUAAUUCAAGCUUUGGUAUUAAGCAUACUCCUUUUCUUUUUUCCAAUGCUUUUCUUAUGCCGGUGCACCUCUUAA
rnacentral:rRNA from 1 species